rnacentral:rRNA from 1 species
UACGUAGGUAGCAAGCGUUAUUCGGAUUUACUGGGCGUAAAGGGUCCGCAGGGGGUCUGCCAAGUCCGGCGUGAAAGCCCACGGCUCAACUGUGGAACGGCGCUGGAAACUGGCGGACUAGAGUGCAUGAGGGGUGAGCAGAAUUCCUGGUGUAGCGGUGGAAUGCGCAGAUAUCAGGAGGAAUACCGAUGGCGAAGGCGGCUCACUGGCGUGCAACUGACCCUCAGGGACGAAAGCGUGGGGAGCAAACAGGAUUAGAUACCCUGGUAGUCCACGCUGUAAACGGUGCACAUUCGAUGCGGGUGGAGCUUUGAUCCCAUCCGUGUCUGAGCUAACGCGUUAAAUGUGCCGCCUGGGGACUACGGCCGCAAGGCUAAA